rnacentral:rRNA from 1 species
AUCCUACGGGGGGCAGCAGUGAGGAAUAUUGGUCAAUGGGCGGUAGCCUGAACCAGCCAAGUCGCGUGAAGGACGAAGGUUCUAUGGAUUGUAAACUUCUUUUAUAAAGGAAUAAAGUGAGGCACGUGUGCCUUUUUGUAUGUACUUUAUGAAUAAGGAUCGGCUAACUCCGUGCCAGCAGCCGCGGUAAUACGGAGGAUCCGCGCGUUCUCCGGAUUUAUUGGGUUUAAAUGGAGCGUAGAUGGGUUGUUAUGUCAGUUGUG